GAUGAACGCUGGCGGCGUGCCUAAUACAUGCAAGUCGAGCGAACAGACGAGUAGCUUGCUCCUCUUACUUUAGCUUCUGACGGGUUAUUAACACUUUGAUAACCUACCUUUAAUACUUGGAUAACUUCGGGAAACCUUAGCUAAUACCGGAUAAUAUAUUGAACCGCAUGGUUCAUUAGUGAAAGACGGUUUUGCUGUCACUUAUAGAUUGAUCCGCUAAGAAUUAGCUAGUUGGUAAGGUAACGGCUUACCAAGGCAACGAUGCGUAGCCGACAUGAGAGGAGGAUAGGAAAAAAUGGAACUGAAAAAAGGACAAGAAUCCUACGGGAGGCAGCAGUAGGGAAUAUUCCGCAAUGGGCGAAAGCCUGACGGAGCAACGCCGCGUGAGUGAUGAAGGUAUUAGGAUCGUAAAACUCUGUUAUUAGGGAAGAACAAAUGUGUAAGUAACUAUGCACGUCUUGACGGUACCUAAUCAGAAAGCCACGGCUAACUACGUG
rnacentral:rRNA from 1 species